rnacentral:lncRNA from 1 species
GAAAAAGGACUUUAAACAUUCUCCUGUUCUGUGGAAUAAGUGUACUUUUUUCUGGACAUACACCUUGUCAGUGAGUUCCAUGUGAUACUAGAGUUGCAUAGAUUUUUAACCUUUACGCCAAUGAAGAUCUGAGGCAAACAUUGCCCCUUUUUUAGAAGUUUGCAUUUGUCACUGAUAACUGUAAUAAUUGAUCUUGUUGAAAAGCCUGGGAAAUGAAGAUCUGAUAUGUCACUUUUACCCGCUUCCUCAACUGAAAAAGAAUACAAUGAAACACGCUGAGAAUUUUUGUGCUUUCUCAGUCUUGCUGAUGAUCUUUCUAUGGGCCUGAAGCGUGGAGAGUGCCAGAGAGGCUGAUCCUCAGCAGUGUGGCAGAGGAAAGUUGGGUGCGACUAAGGAGUAUGCGGUGCCCAAAUGCCACUGGGUCUUCAGCAGUACCACCUGAUUGGAAGUGAUAUUGGUGGAAGACAACAUUUUGCCGCUUGGAAUUCUCACCUCCACACCAAAGAAGUACUGUUUUUGUCAUUUGCACCAGCUUCUUUCUCCAGGAAAGAUCAAAACGAUGCACUGCAAAGGAAGCAAGAGAAUGAAUUAAAGAAAACUCCAGAGAAUGAGCUGACAACUUACGCCCUGGUCAGUGGCUCUCCAUGCCUACCUGUGGUCUCUUGGACACCCUUGCAGGUAUGUGGGCAGGGAACUGCAUGUUUAUAGGAAACAGGCCUAGGAUGGAAGGAGUUAAUAGAUCUUCCUCUUCUUGAGUUUGAUG